rnacentral:rRNA from 1 species
CCUACGGGAGGCUGCAGUGGGGAAUAUUGCUCAAUGGGGGAAACCCUGAAGCAGCGACGCCGCGUGAGUGAUGAAGUUUUUCGGAUUGUAAAGUUCUAUUAGUAGGGAAGAUUAUGACGGUAUCUGACUAAUAAGCACCGGCUAACUCCGUGCCAGCAGCCGCGGUAAUACGUAGGGUGCAAGCGUUAUCCGGAUUUACUGGGCGUAAAGAGUGCGUAGACGGCAGCAUAAGUCUGGAGUGAAAUGCUGUGGCUUAACUCCGGAACUGCUUUGGAAACUGUGCAGCUGGAGUGCGGGAGAGGUAGGUGGAAUUCCUGGUGUAGCGGUGAAAUGCGUAGAGAUUAAGAGGAACACCAGUGGCGAAGGCGACUUACUGGAACGUAACUGACGUUGAGGCACGAAAGCGUGGGGAGCAAACAGGAUUAGAUACCCGAGUAGUC